AACGGCCAUACCAUGCUGAAUAUACCAGUUCUCGUUAGAUCAACGAGGGCAAGCAUCAUUGGGCGCGGUCAGUACUUGGGUGGGUGACCACCUGGGUG
rnacentral:rRNA from 1 species